AUGGAGCUCUCAUCCCUCCUGCCCUCCCUGUCCCCGCGCCGCGCCCUCCGGCUCUCCUUCUCCACCGCGUCCAAGACGCCCCGGCGGCCGCGGCCGGCCGCCUUCGCCUGCCGCGCGGACGCCUCCCCGGAAGGACCAAUCACCCGGCGAUGGUUCGCCUCGCUAGCCGCCGCCACCGCAGCCGUGGGGAUCAGCGUCGCCGGAGGAGGGGGAGCUGGCGCCGUGUCGACCAGCAGGAGAGUUUUUAGGAGCAGCAAGAUUCCGGAGAGCGACUUCAUCACUCUGCCUAAUGGCAUCAAGUACUAUGACAUCAAAGUAGGAGGUGGGGCUAAAGCAGUUAAGGGAUCGCGCGUCGCAGUACAUUACGUGGCCAAGUGGAAGGGCAUAACAUUCAUGACAAGUAGGCAGGGCCUCGGUGUCACUGGUGGAACGCCGUAUGGGUUUGAUGUUGGCAAUUCUGAAAGAGGCAAUGUUCUAAAAGGAUUGGAUCUCGGGGUUGAGGGAAUGAAAGUUGGAGGCCAGAGGUUGGUUAUUGUUCCUCCUGAGCUAGCUUAUGGAAAAAAGGGCGUUCAAGAAAUUCCUCCUAAUGCAACUAUUGAGCUGGAUGUCGAACUACUAUCGAUCAAACAGAGUCCAUUUGGGAGUCCUGUGAAGAUCGUUGAAGGAUAA
rnacentral:rRNA from 1 species